rnacentral:misc_RNA from 1 species
UGGUGGUUUUGGCGUUGCCG